rnacentral:tRNA from 1 species
UCAUGGCCGAGUUGGUCUAAGGCGCUGGAUUAAGGCUCCAGUCCGCAAGGGCGUGGGUUCAAAUCCCACUGAGGC